rnacentral:lncRNA from 1 species
GUGUGGUUUUGGUGUUGCUGUUUUGCUGGUGUAAAUGUGUCUAUGAUACAUAGAUGCAUUUACAGGAAACAGACACAGAAGGAAGACUAAUACUGAGCCUAGAGUCACAUUCAGUUUUCAGCUCUGUACACACACAGAAGACAGAGAAGAAGAGGAGAGGAGUUGACAGGAGAGGAAGAUGGCGUCCAUCCCCUGUGCUCUGUGUGUGUUGCUGAUCUGCCUGUCAGGACCACAUGGGUGUCUGCUGUAAGCUACAUUUGAUGUAGUGUUUUCUUCUGUAGUCUCUGCUUCCCCCAAUGAGACUGAGAUGGAGGCAGACGGUAAAGUGACCCUCCACUGCAUCCUGUACACACAAGACAACUGUGGAGGAUCAGAGGCAGAUGAAGGAGUUAGUCUGAGCUGGGUGGAUGAGGGAGGGAAAGAGCUACAGAACGAUAACAAUCGCCAGAUCAGAACCACACCUCCCUGUUCCAUCACACUGACUGAGGAGCUCAGAGGUCCAAACCCUGUUCAUACUCGGACAUGCCAGCUGACUGCAGGAGGGCAGGUUCAGACUUCUGUCUCCCACACCAUCAGAGUGAAAGAAUGAAACUGUCACCACUGCUUCCUCAAACUCAGGCCCAUCAGGUACAGCAUGAAGACCAUCAUCCCCUCAGUCUCUAAUAAUUAUGCUACAGGUCUUCAAAUUGUGCAAUAUGCUACUC